rnacentral:rRNA from 1 species
CCUACGGGUGGCAGCAGUCGAGAAUCAUUCUCAAUGGGCGAAACCCUGAUCGCGCGACGCCGCGUGGGGGAAUGAAGGUCUUCGGAUUGUAAACCCCUGUCAUGUGGGAGCAAAUUAAAAAGAUAGUACCACAAGAGGAAGAGACGGCUAACUCUGUGCCAGCAGCCGCGGUAAUACAGAGGUCUCAAGCGUUGUUCGGAAUCACUGGGCGUAAAGGGUGCGUAGGCUGUUUCGUAAGUCGUGUGUGAAAGGCGCGGGCUCAACCCGCGGACGGCACAUGAUACUGCGAGACUAGAGUAAUGGAGGGGGAACCGGAAUUCUCGGUGUAGCAGUGAAAUGCGUAGAUAUCGAGAGGAACACUCGUGGCGAAGGCGGGUUCCUGGACAUUAACUGACGCUGAGGCACGAAGGCCAGGGGAGCGAAAGGGAUUAGAUACCCCAGUAGUC